rnacentral:rRNA from 1 species
AUUGAACGCUGGCGGAAUGCCUUACACAUGCAAGUCGAACGGCAGCACGGGAGCAAUCCUGGUGGCGAGUGGCGAACGGGUGAGUAACACGUGGGCAACCAACCUCCACAUCGGGAUACCCCGGGGAAACUCGGAUCAAUACCGGAUAAUGCGCGACGCUGUUGGGCGUCGCACCAAAGGUAGCUUCGGCCUCUGGUGAAGGACGGGCCCGCGGCCCAUUAGCUUGUUGGUGGGGUAAUGGCCUACCAAGGCAACGAUGGGGUAGCUGGUCUGAGAGGAUGAUCAGCCACACUGGGACUGAGAUACGGCCCAGACUCCUACGGGGAGGCAGCAGUGGGGAAUAUUGCGCAA